UUUCUCCUAACGGGCCCAGGCCCAUUUCUCUCUCGUGGCUAUCCCCAUCUCGCGUCGCCCCGUCGAUCCCGAACUCCCCACGCACCGUUGGUCAUCGACCUCGCAGCCGCUGCCGCUCGUAGACCUCGUCACGGCCGCCAGACAGGGGUUCGUCUACUUCGGCCCGGUGCCGCCGAUUGCUCCACGCGCCGCCGGAUUGGCGUUCGUCGACCUACCCCGGCCGAGCGGCUCGUCGAUCUCGCCAGCAAGCCACGCACCACCGGGUUGGAUCCCUGGUCGAACUCGCCGGCAAGCCCCCCGCCGCCGGCCGUCUCCAUCAUCAGAGUCGUCGCCCAAGUCGUUGCCAGCCAGUAAGAGAAGGUGCAUAAUCGAGGUUCUUAUGUGAAGCUAUCCGCUGUUCGAGGGAGAAGCGGUUUGGGCAAAGCAAUUAGGUCAGGCGGUAGAGACACUUGGUGGCGUUCCGUACCCGGAAGUUGCACCACUGAUGGCUUCCUUUGUUCCUGAUGGUUUUUUAUGUCGUUCCCCAUGGUUUUUGAUGUUGUUAUGGUGCUCUUGCUACAUUGAUUUUGCAGUACAUUUGAAGUUCAAUGUUUGUGUCAUACAAUGUGUUUGUGCAUCUUGUAAUGAACUGAAACAAUUGGGCACCUGGUGAACUGUUCCCAACCGUAUGGUUUACCUAUUCGAUGAAGUGAGAUGAAGAUGAGUGUUUAUCUUAAUGUACAUGGCUGCAUUUGAUGUUUGCCAACUGUAUGGUUUAGCAAACUGUAUGUAUGCAGCAUGGCCUAAAUUCUGUCGUUUUAUGUUCUUCAGACCAAAACUGUGAUGUUCUUCAUACUUAAAGUCAGUCUGAAUCACAUGUAAAGUAUAGAUUUGUCGUUUGUUGGCUUAUA